UACGUAGGGGGCAAGCGUUGUCCGGAAUUAUUGGGCGUAAAGAGCUUGUAGGCGGUCUGUCGCGUCUGCUGUGAAAAUCCGGGGCUCAACCCCGGACUUGCAGUGGGUACGGGCAGACUAGAGUGUGGUAGGGGAGACUGGAAUUCCUGGUGUAGCGGUGAAAUGCGCAGAUAUCAGGAGGAACAGCCGAUGGCGAAGGCAGGUCUCUGGGCCACUACUGACGCUGAGAAGCGAAAGCAUGGGGAGCGAACAGG
rnacentral:rRNA from 1 species